rnacentral:lncRNA from 1 species
UCAAAUGGUUACAUUCGAUAACUGAACGAAACGGUCAAACUUUUAUGAAUCCCAAUCAAAAUGCUAAAUUAUUACUCAACCGAACUAAAACAAUUCAACUUGCCAAAUCAAUUGAAUCAGUUAAAUAUAUAAAAUAAAUAAACUGAGAAUCUAUGUAUAAAUUCGAUUUUUGAUACAUGCAAUUGAGGAGUUUCAUUUAAAAGGUUGUACAGUUCAUACCCGUAUAGUUAUAUCCAAAUUACAUAUAAAUUCUCACCGAAAUAUGUAUUCUGUUAUAAAACUUUAGCAAAGUGUAGAAAGAUACUCUUAUAAUUGCAUAUAUUUAGAGAGAAUAAGUAAGAGAUAAAAAGAGAAACUAUUCAGAAAAGUUCUAAUUAUUUGAAGUCACGGGGAGAAGGAAAAGGUUCACGGGAGGAGGAGAAGGAGGGGGAGAGCACGGGUGAAACCCUCCUGAGGAGGGAAUCACUUUAUAACACUUCCCCUGAUUUUCUAUGAUAGAAGAUUAUGUCUCAUUAAAAACCUUGUUAAGAAAACCCAGUAGUGGAAAAAACUUAACGAAGGAAAAAAGAGUACAUAUCUUUUUACAUAAAUAUCUUAAUUGACUGUCUCGUUAAAACCUUGUCAGUCGACACAUUCCGAUCCUUUUCCGAAGUUUUGCAAACGUUGCAUUUGGUAGCGACUUUGUGAAUAAGUCGACUAGAUUCUCAGCCAUGGAAUUACCAUUCGCGGCACCUCGGGAAUUGCCGUGGAUAAUCUAGCCGACUUUAUUCACAAAAUCGCUACCAAAUGCAACGUUUGCAAAACUUCGAAAAAGGAUCGGAAUGUGUCGACUGAAAGACUUGUGACAACAUUUCAUCAAGAAGUAUUGAAUUCCUUUUGAGGGGAAGACUGUACUCUUUUUCCUUGGUCACGAUUUUUAUCCCAAUGAAUUUUUCCUGACAAGGUUUCAACGAGGCAGUCAAUUAAGAUAUUUAUGUAAAAAGAUGUACUCUUUUUCCCUUCGUUAAGUUUUUCCCAUUGGGUUUUAAUGAGACAUAAUCUUCUAUCGUAGGAAAUCAGGGAAAGUGUUAUAAAGUGAUUCCCUCCUCGGGAGGGUUUCACCCGUGCUCUCCCCCUCUCCUUCUUCUCCUCCUCCCGUGAACCUUUUCCUUCUC